rnacentral:lncRNA from 1 species
CUCCUUCCGAUCCACCGUCAAAUGCCCCUUAAACAAAUAUCCUAAUAAACCAAAAAUUCAAUUCCAAUAAAAGAGAAUAAAUUUUGUGUUUUUUCAGGCAAAUUUCCAAAAUAACUACAUGAAAAUUUCAAAAAUCAAUGGGUUUCUGUAAUUUUCAGAACAGGGAGAAAGAACACCAUGAACCCAGAAUCCCAACCCCGGCCGGACAGUCAU